UACGAAGGGGGCUAGUGUUGCUCGGAAUUACUGGGCGUAAAGGGCGCGUAGGCGGCACUGUUAGUCAGGCGUGAAAGUCCUGGGCUCAACCUGGGAACUGCGCUUGAUACGGCAGAGCUAGAGGAUGGAAGAGGGUCGCGGAAUUCCCAGUGUAGAGGUGAAAUUCGUAGAUAUUGGGAAGAACACCGGUGGCGAAGGCGGCGACCUGGUCCAUUACUGACGCUGAGGCGCGACAGCGUGGGGAGCAAACAGG
rnacentral:rRNA from 1 species